UGUUUUACUAGCUAGAAUAAAUGGCUCGUAAAAUUUUGUAUUAUAUAAGCAAACUUCUCUACAAAAUUUUAUGGGAUUGGUGGUCUUCAACCCCAAUUGCUGGCUUACAAAUACGAGUUUCGAGCUGAAAUUCGAAAGCAAAGAUCUAUCUACAGAAUUUUAUCACGACCGUUCCAUACUUAACCCUGAGGUCUCCCUCAGCUCACUACUGAAUUUAAAAUAAAAGAAUAGCGCUGAAAUUCGACACUAGUAAGUUUCUUAUUAGCACUAAUCAGUCUACCGAAUUUUAUGAGGAUGGAUUUUAUGAUGAAGUCCAUUAUUUACCCUACCCCCACAUAAAUCCCCCUUCAGAAAUUGACUUAAACGCACAUUAAAAAUGCGAGUAUAAAAAAGCUAUGAAAUUCGAUACACAGAAGUAAGUUUCUUAUAAACCAAAAUCUAAUAAUAAUAAUAAUAAUAAUAAUAAUAAUAUUACCCCAAUGGUUAUAAGAGUGAAACUGCUUGAGUCCUCAAAUUUUUAAUGGAAAAAGUGAGCGGCCUAUGAGAGAGUUAUAACCCUUAAAUCUUGGACGAACAACUUUCGCAUCCAUAUCAACAUUUGGAUAAUAAAUUGGCGGACCAGCGAUAGUGGUCAUAAGACCUCCCUUGUACAUAAAUUAUGCACAGCAAUUUGUCUGGGAAUCUUUUACAGCUACAAUCUUACAUUUUUAAAAUCACACAUGGAACAUGACAAUUCAUUUAUCUGGAAAGAUAUUUGAGCAAAAUCUCUAAAGGUAUACAGGAACAAUUCCUGGGUAAUAAAUUGUCGAUUUGAAAAAAAUGGCGAGUUUGCAAUAGUUGGUCUCCUUCGAUAUGAAGUAAAUAAUAAAAUAUAAAGGAAACAUUUUUGCUAUUUCCACGGGGGGAAGGGGUAUACCAUUCACGUGUGAGGUCCCACUUUUAAAAAAUUGAACUUCAUCACUAUUUUAGUUACUGAAAAGAUUUAUAUGUUUAUGACAAUUAUAAAUUUGAGAAUGAUUCUAUGAAAAAUAAUUAUUUUACAACAAAUAAAUAAUGAUA